rnacentral:lncRNA from 1 species
CGAGAGAGGUUGGGGAGAGGGGACGACACCCGUCUCAAAUCUGUUAUGGCUCGUGAGGCAGAUACGUAGCCAAUAGUGCAUUAAAUUGCAAAGAUGGCCAGAGCAGCUGAUUCCCACUGAGAACACAAGUCCCGGAGAAACUGCUCUUCUGAGCAAAGACAGAGGAAAAACAUUUAAUUCAUUCACAUGAGCAAUUAAAUAGUAACAUACGACUCGAGUGACUUUGAGGC